rnacentral:lncRNA from 1 species
AAUAAUAAUCCACUUUUUUUUACUCAAAUUCAUAAUAAAUUCACCAUAUUCAUUUCAUUCAAACUUCACAAACAAAAUCCAAUGAAAUUAAAACCUCUAAACUCACAUUACAACUAACAAAAUUUUCAAAUAGAAUUACAUUAAAAUUUCAUCAAGCAUCUAAUCAAUAGUUCACAAUAAAACUUCACUUGGAUUGCAAAAAAAUGCUCACAUGGAUCAUCAAUCAAUUCCCUCCAAUAUCAAUUGUUUGUCCCCCCAAACCUCAUCCUAAUUCCCUCUUAAUUCUACCCUAAUUUUUCACACAUCUACAUUUAUAAAAUCAGCCAAAACCGAGUUACAGAAAAAGCAGAAGAUACAAAAAAUACUCUGCAAAAAUUAUCCAAAAUUUUCCUCUACCACACACUUCAAAGCUCCAUUAGAGGUUCAAACUAAAGUUCUAAUCCAUGUCUGCGCUCAAGCCUCUACAUCAACUUGCAACAAGUAAAGAUCCAUCUAGAAAGAGAGGAAGAGUAGUAAAGGAGAAAAGGAUCAAAAAAGAAUCUUACCUAGAGCAGAGAGAGAUUGUUGGAGGAGAAAGAGCGAUGAAGUCUGAUUCUGUUUUUCCUUCCCUUUUUUCUUUUAUUUGUUUUCCAUUAUUGAAUAUUAAUACUGUUAGAUGUCACAUUUACAUUGGAGUUUUUUUUUUUUAUAUUUUGAGUUGGUCAACAUUCUUAAUUGUGUUUUAAUCAUUAAAUCCAACAAUAAUUGCAAGAGAGUGGAUCGCUUAGGCCUCCCCACCAUUUCUAUGUUAUUUUCUUUGAAAGGUUUAUUAAUAUUAGUUUUAUUAUUAAGUGGUAGAAUUAGUUUUUCUUUUAGAAUUAGGCUUUUGGGCUCAAUUGGAUUUCUUCCCACCCUUCUUUUGCUAACUAUGCACCCCUUUCUAUUUUUUCUCUUUUAUUUAAAUCUAUUUAGAUUUUCAUUUUAUUUCAAAA